UACGGAGGGUGCAAGCGUUAAUCGGAAUUACUGGGCGUAAAGCGCGCGUAGGCGGUUGGGUAAGUCAGAUGUGAAAGCCCCGGGCUUAACCUGGGAACUGCAUUUGAUACUGUCUGACUCGAGUAUGGUAGAGGGGGGUGGAAUUCCCGGAGUAGCGGUGAAAUGCGUAGAUAUCGGGAGGAACACCAGUGGCGAAGGCGGCCCCCUGGACCAAUACUGACGCUGAGGUGCGAAAGCGUGGGGAGCAAACAGG
rnacentral:rRNA from 1 species